rnacentral:miRNA from 3 species
AAAGGAGCUUCAGUUGAGAAAAUGCCUCCAUGAGAUCCAGCUGUAAGGCAUUUUCUCAAUUAGUGAU